rnacentral:rRNA from 1 species
GGAAGUAAAAGUCGUAACAAGGUUUCCGUAGGUGAACCUGCGGAAGGAUCAUUAUUGAAAUAAACCUGAUGGGUUGCUGCUGGCUCUCCAGGGAGCAUGUGCACACCUUGUCAUCUUUAUAUUUCCACCUGUGCACCUUUUGUAGACCCAGGAUAUCUUUCCAGGUGUCUAUGUUGCUUUCUUCAUAUACCCCAAAUGUAUGUCAAUAGAAUGUUGUGCCCAUGAUAAAAACAUAUACAACUUUCAGCAACGGAUCUCUUGGCUCUCGCAUCGAUGAAGAACGCAGCGAAAUGCGAUAAGUAAUGUGAAUUGCAGAAUUCAGUGAAUCAUCGAAUCUUUGAACGCACCUUGCGCUCCUUGGUAUUCCGAGGAGCAUGCCUGUUUGAGUGUCAUUAAUGUAUAUCAAUCCCUCAUCUUUGUUGAAGUGGGUUUGGAUGUGGGGGUGGGGGAGGAUUGCCCUCCCUUUUGCUGGCCUCUUUAAAGAGGUCAGCUCUCCUAAAAUGCAGCAGCAGAACAAAACCUGUUUGUUCAUUGGCGUGAUAAACUAUCUAUGCUAUUGAAUGGUGUAAGGCAAGUUCAGCUUUCUAACAGUCUUUGGACAAAUUUAUCAUCUAUGUGAUCUCAAAUCAGGUAGGACUACCCGCUGAACUUAAGCAUAUCAAUAAGCGGAGGAAAAGAAACUAACAAGGAUUCCCCUAGUAACUGCGAGUGAAGCGGGAAAAGCUCAAAUUUAAAAUCUGGCAGUCUUUUGGCUGUCCGAGUUGUAAUCUAGAGAAGUGUUAUCCGCGCUGGACCAUGUACAAGUCUCCUGGAAUGGAGCAUCACAGAGGGUGAGAAUCCCGUCUUUGACAUGGACUGCCAGGGCUUUUGUGAUGCGCUCUCAAAGAGUCGAGUUGUUUGGGAAUGCAGCUCAAAAUGGGUGGUAAAUUCCAUCUAAAGCUAAAUAUUGGCGAGAGACCGAUAGCGAACAAGUACCGUGAGGGAAAGAUGAAAAGAACUUUGGAAAGAGAGUUAAACAGUACGUGAAAUUGCUGAAAGGGAAACGCUUGAAGUCAGUCACGUCAACCAGGGAUCAACCUUGCUUCUGCUUGGUGCACUUCCUGGUUUGAUGGGUCAGCAUCAUUUUUGACCAUUGGAAAAAGAUGAAGGGAAUGUGGCAUCUUCGGAUGUGUUUAUAGCCCUUGGUUGCAUGCAAUGGUUGGGAUUGAGGAACUCAGCACGCCGCAAGGCCGGGUGUCAAAACCACGUACGUGCUUAGGAUGCUGAUAUAAUGGCUUUAAUCGACCCGUCUUG